UACAUAGGGGGAGCUUGUUUUCAGGCUGAGAGGGUGUAAUGGAGCACCGACCCUAAAACCUGAUUUGGAUAAUGCCAACGUAGGGAACUGUCUUUU
rnacentral:ncRNA from 1 species